UGCUGGAACGGAUCUGGAGACGAUUCGGCCGAAUGAAACUGUGAUGAGCAGAAGAUGGUUUCUGCUUUCCGUGGUUUCGGCUCCGGAGGCUUCCUGUGGAGGAACGCGUCGCGUCUUGAGCAGGAAUGUUUGACUGAAGCCUGGAGCAACUCAUGUUUCUGCACAGGGUCAGAGGUCAAAGGCUACAAACCACCACUCUUCCCCUCAGAUGAAAAAGAAAUCUGUCACCUCAGUACAACAUCACAUCCGUCGCUGCAAAAACAUCUGGAACAGGACCAUAACGGGUCUCAACCACACCGCUGAACAGAACCGACACUUCGCUGACCGCAAAAGAUCCCCUGCUCCACAGUAUUCAGCAGGACAAAAGGUUUGGCUUUCAGCACGAGAUAUCCCACUCAAAUAUAUGUCCAGAAAACUCUCCCCCAGAUUCAUCUGUCCUUAUGAAGUUUAAAGAGUCAUCAGUCCCUCAGCUGUCCGCCUCCUCCUCCCAUCAUCUCUCCCAUCACCUCUCCAAUGCCAGGAGUUCCUGGCUUUCUGGAUUUUCCUCCCCGUGACGCCGUGGAUUAUUACCCACUAGUUGCCCGAGUUCCCUCCUCACCUUCAGCAGAUGAAUUGUCUUCAGUUCCUGGAUUCCCAGCUGGCAGUCGGAUCGCUCUUCUGAUCUCCUCACCUGAACUUUCCUGUCCGGCCUCCACUUCAGCCCUCACCAUCCACCUCCAAUGAACCCUCUGUCUGAACCAGCCAUCGGAAUCUGAAACACGUCAAGAACCCCUAAUACAGACCAAUGCCCCGGUGGCCACUGUACUUCACCUGGCGGAGAAACUUACCAGCCCAAGUAAGACUAAUCCAUUCUUGUCUGAAGAUCCACUGUCCGAUCUACCUUGAACUCACCGUGUCUCUCUCACCGCUCUCCAGAGUACGGACGACCCUGGCCUCACAUGCUAGCUCAGUUUGCCCUGUUCAGCUAGCAGAGAAACGCUGCUCCACGCAACUGGCAGCUCUGCCAGUUUUUCUCUGAGACCAAUAAUUAAAUAUCCAUUUUAUUUAAUGUUUUUGGUUAAUUUGUUCAGUUCUCUUAGGGAUUCAAAAUGUCUUCUUGAGUCAGUGCUAAUUGCAGCAACAGGAGUCCCUGGUUGCUCCAUCUUAGCUGCGCCUUCUGCAGUGGAGGACAUGUGAGGACAUCAUGUCUCCUCCAUGAGAUGGUGCAGAACACGCUGCUUAUUUCUGCGAGGCUGAGUUUGGUUCUGGUGAGAUUUGGGUUCCUCUGCAGAUCCAGAGAGGCUCAGCACGACCGGCUGAUGAGAUCCAGAUGUUGGAGUCGGAUCAAACACGCCAAACUGCGAUUGAUCCCCAGCAGCGACACAACGCAACAUCCAGCUAAAAGAACCAGAUCCAAGAUCCAGAACCCAGAUCCAAGUCACUGGACUGUCAGUAACCAGCUGCUGGUGGUUCUGGAGGUUCAGGUGACCUUUGACUCUGUGGACCUCGCUGUGGUUUCGUGGAUUCUGUGGUUCGGCCUUCAAACGGUUGCUGCCUCUCUUCUGAGCGGGGUGCCGCAGGGCUGCGCUUUAGCGCUCUUGGUUUUGUCCUUGUUGUCUCUGGGAUUUAUUGCAAACCGCCGAAACAUUAAAUUGACUUGUUAUGCAGAUGAUGUGAUAUUUAUUCACCAGGCAGAACUUUCUGUUCCCGAACGACCAGCAAGCAGAACGGAUCCCACAUGGAGACAAAGAUCCUGCUGGCCUGGGAAAUUUCACCACAACUGAAAAACCCAAAAUCACGUCUGACAAAACAACUUGACAAACAAAUCUCUGUUGUUCUCCAGAUUUCCUUAUUUUCACCUGUUGAACCAGGUCAGGCUGUUUUUAUCCAGCUGACCAACUCCAGGACUUCACCACCACCACCUGCCAUUCUCCCGUUUUGGUCGGGAAACUACCGAACUCUACUCCGUUCCCACCCGGGCCCGUAUUGGUAUCUUCCUGUAAACAUCCCAUAUUAUGGUAAUGAUGGGGCCCCAACCUGGCAACACUUCUGGUUUUACCUAGUUUGCUCUGCAUUGCUUUGCUGCUUCUGCUCUUUUACCUGUUGCUGUGUUGGGUUUUGACCCUGAAGCAGUUUGGUCUCCACUGUGGUCACUGCAGACAUGGAUGUUGGUUGGCUGAUGGAUUGAUGGGGACGACUUGGUGUCAGUGAUCUUCCUCCAGAACAUGGUGGAAACUUGGACCUGCUCCUUCAGCGGCUGUGAAACAGUCAGCAGGUUGCUGUGCAAAGCUGCAGCAUCCAUCAUGACUCCAGGUCCUCCAGCUUCACGCCACAUCGAGCUGCAGAGAGCAGCCAGAGGACGCACAGCUGCUAACACUCAACCCCCUACUUCCAGGGAAGAAACCGACCCGGCAGAUCCGACCUGAACCUGAACCACCCAACCCCCCAGCAGCAGGAGGGCCGAACGAGGAAAUAACCCCCAUUGUUCUGGGUCUCCAGGGGACGAAAGCUGCAGGCACCGAGUUUAACUUUCUCUGCAGCAACAAAACGACCGAAAAAAAUACCCCACAGAGAUUUAAUGACCCCCCACUCCGUUUACCCCCCCUCUCUGU